UACUAUGAAUCAAUUUUUACUUCCACCAUUAGAUGGUACUAUACUAAUAUUUUUGCCUGAAUGAUAGGUGAGAGGUUAUUGCGUAUAAUUUAUUUUAUGUGUCUCAUCAGUAUUAAAAGAAUUGCACUUUGAAGUAUUUGCCAAUUUAAAUAAUUUAUUUGUAUAAUGUAUCAAAUACAUUGGAGUAAAGAUGAAUUCUUCUAUCCUUCUAUCCUUUCGUUGUGGUUGUUCUGAAACAAAUCUUUCUUUAAUGUUAAUGGAUUUUUUUUUACAAAAUUUCUGAAUUUAAAAUUUAAAAAGGAACACUUUGAAACGACACCGACCGAAUUUUUCACUUUUACAUUUGGCACGACUGUUUUUAUUUUAUUCGAGACAUGGAAAUGCUAUUCUUUCCUUCAAUGCUUGUUACUUUUUGAAAAUUAGGAGAACCGAAAAUGGCCACAGACCACAGACAACACUAAUUACACAAUUGGUCUAAGCAAGAUGAGAAAGAUCUUCUUGACAAAACAAAGAAAAUCACACCACCAAAUUCACGAUCAACUUCACGAGAAAACUUGUGUUCAACCCAUACGACCAAGUUAAGUCACAGCAUGCAUCUCCCUUUCUUUUUUUUCUUUUCUCUCUCUCUCUCUUUUUCUCUUUCGUUUUUUUUUUUUUUUUUUUUUUUUUUAAAGCAAUAUAAUUAAAACUUUCCUACGUAAUGAUUGUUUUCUUUUGAUACCACUGAAACUAACUAAGUAUUUCUUCUUGUAAAAUUUUCAUUCCCUAUUAAAUAGGUUGUUACAUCUUUAAAUGCCACUGAAAUUAUUAAUGCAUUCUUCCCGUUAAAAAUCAUUUACAUUUCUAAUGCAACAAUCUUUACUUUCAUUUGACGCCACUGAAACUUUGGUAGGUAAAGUAGGAAUAAUGAACGCAUUGACUCAGCGUAAUAGUCAUCUAUUUGUUGUUCCGACACUAUAGUAUUAUUGAACCACUGCACCUUUGGUUGCGCCAUGCUAUAACGCACUUUUAAAAUAGUACUUUAAAAGAGCGUCACAGUGUUGGUCGCCAAGCACAAACACUUGGAUUAUUAUUAUUUUUUUUUUUUUUUUUUACAUUUCACUGUACACGUUCUGCUUUUUUUCUUCUAUGCUUUUCAAAUAUUCAUCACCAAACACUGUCUUUUUAGAUUCUGUCCUGUUUCACUGGAAGAAAAGCACAUAGAGCUAUUUAGGGAUACUGUCCUUUCACUUUCAUUAAGUUCACUUUUCAAAACACGUUCGCACAAUUCACUUACAUAAGUGUUGGAUGUAUAUAUCACACGGAUAAUUCUACAUAGUCAUAAAAUGCAGCUUUACAAUUAACUAGACUUAAUUACUGUAUCAAAUAUAGCUUCAACCAGACCUUUCAUAUUUCACCUUUAUCUUCAUUAAGAUUCGUAUUGUAAAAGAAGAUUCAUCAUGAAAUUUUGAAAACAAAAUAUUUUUUAAAAGAUUUCGCUUGAAUAUGAAAGAACUGUAUGUGUGUGUGUGUGUGUGUGUGUGUGUGUGUGUGUGUAUGUGUGUGUGUGUGUAUAUAUAUAUAUAUAUAUGCGCAGAUUAUACGAUUAUAAUACAAAUUAAAUCUAUGUCUCUUACGAAUUAUUUAUGAUAAUUAAAAUAACUUAAUUAAGCGUUUCCUCAAAACUUAAUGAACUCUGAAUUGCUUUAAUGUUAAACGCUAUGAAUACUUUUCUAAAUAAAAAGAAAAAUUAAGAGUAUAUAUAUAUACGUAAUAGCUGAAAAUAUUGUAAUAAAAAUUAAUCAAUAUAUUUGAUUGAAAAUUAAAAUAACAUUCUGUAUAGAAUUGUUACCAUUAUUAUUACUUUAAUAUUGUUAUUAAUAUAACUUAAAUUUUCCUUGCAAUUCAGAUUCAUAAUAAUUUCAUUUCUUUUUAUGCAUAUACAGGCUUGUACGUCUAGUAACCUUUCGAUGUCCCUAAACAUUCAUAAUUAAAAGAAAAAGAGUACGAAAGGAAUUGUUUACAUUGAUCUAAUUGAUCUAAUAUUUUCUUAUAAUGUAAUAGAUAUCUGAAUUUAUAUUUUGAAAUUUCUUUCACAAUCCAAACUAUCGUAUGUAUCAUUUUACAUAACAUUUAUUAAUAAAAUUACUUAUUUAAAAAAUUUA